rnacentral:tRNA from 2 species
GUCCUCGUGGCCGAGCGGAGAGGCGCCGGUUUCCUAAGCCGGGCAACGCAGGUUCGACUCCUGCCGGGGACG